GGGUCAACGUUCAUCUUGUUCUUCAGAAAACCCUAACUCGUGGGUAUUAUUCAUCACUCUAGAAGUCUGAUUUCGAAAGCUCAAAUCAGCAAACUUUCUUCAUCAAAGUUGUUCGUCUGUUCGAAUACUAUAUCAUACCCAAACAUGAGCAUCAUCAGACGGGUCUAGCUACCUCGAACCGGCUAUGAAAUUUCUGUGUUCAUCCAUGGCUGUUGACAACUAUGACAUACCCAAAAAUCAGAGCAAUCCAACUACUCUAGCUAUGUCUGUGAUGACAAUACUUCCUUCAUGAAGGUUGUUCAGAAGUCUUUUCGGCAGUGGUACACCUGAAACAAGCUUUUGUUAGUUUUCAAGUGUUGUUUGAGUUGGUUAUUUCUCUUUGGCAGCUUCACCCAGGAUUUCGGACCAAUAUUAAGGUAAAGUUUUAAGAUGCUUCGAUUUCUGGAAAUUUGUGUCUGAGUUGUUGGCCCAAGCUGGUUUUGAAAGUGGAAGGACCAAAAGAUAAUUUAAAUAAGUAUAAGUGCCAAAGUGCAAAUAAAGGAAAAU